UACGUAGGUGGCAAGCGUUGUCCGGAUUUAUUGGGUUUAAAGGGUGCGUAGGCGGUCUUCUAAGUCAGUUGUGAAAUACUUCAGCUUAACUGGAGAGGUGCAAUUGAUACUGGAAGACUUGAGUACUGAUGAGGUAGGCGGAAUGGACGGUGUAGCGGUGAAAUGCUUAGAUAUCGUCCAGAACACCGAUAGCGAAGGCAGCUUACUAAGGAGUAACUGACGCUGAGGCACGAAAAGUGUGGGGGAUCAAAACAGG
rnacentral:rRNA from 1 species